CAUCUCUUACUCUUCUCUUUUUGUACUAACUCUUAAAUUUUAAAGAUUUUUAGACCGUCAAACUUACUUGAAAAAAAAUGUUGAUUCAAGCACAGCAAAAAUCGAGGGGGAUGAAUUAUUGGUAGAUGCUAUAUUUUCAUCGCUAAUGCCUAAUUAUUUAUGAUAGAAAAUUUUGGAUCGAUCAAUUCGGAUUAACUCGGAUUGGAUCACAGAUCAAUCUAGCUCAUUUGCACUUCGAAGAUCAUGAGCAUCGAAUAGCGUGCAUCCCGCAUUGCAUCCAACGACGUGCAUGCCGC
rnacentral:lncRNA from 1 species